rnacentral:lncRNA from 1 species
AGGAACAUGUUGAAACUGACGAGUUGGACAAUGUUGUUCAAAACAAGUCAGAAUUUGAUGAUUCCCAUGAUCAGAUUUUGAGCACUCAAACCAUUUUGGAUACAGGGCAGUCUAUUGAUAAAAAAGUUUUGGUUGUUGAAAGAAAAAAGCCAACAGUAGAGGCCAUCAAAUUUCAAGAAUGUUGGGGCCAAUUUUAUGAGCAUGCUAAAUUCUAUAAGGGCAAGCAUGAAGAACUUAACGGCAGCCCAAUCCUUUGUCAAAGAUUUGACCAGUACAAAAAUUGUGGGAAUUAAAUACAAGGUUCAAGGCAGCUCAAUGAAAACAUAAACUUCACUGGAAACAGCCUUAUUUGAUUACGAAAAUUCAUUCACAUGGAAGGGCAAAUAUAAAGGAUUCAACCACUGAAUUGAAACAUAUAAUUGAUAAACAUCAGCUCAUUCCAUACCUACUUUUACCCUCUGAUGCUGCCAAUGAAUGGUUGACUCUAAAAGAACAAAUCAUGUGAUCAUCAGAUUCUUUCAAAUCUGUCUAGUUAUAGACGUUAACUAAAGCACUAAUUGGAAGGCAACCCAAUUUUUAUAACUCUUUUCUUCUUAUUUGCGUUUAUUUUAUUUUCUUCCUUAUAUUCUUUUUCACAAAAAUAAAAAGAUUAAAAAAAAUUCAGAAAAUUGAAAAACACAAAAACAGAAUUUUUUAAAAGUUAAUAAGUAUUUUAUUUGGAAUUUAUUCUAGUGCAAUUUUAAUUUUGUGAUUUUAUGCAGGUUGAAUUUGAACCAAAUACGGGAAUCGACUGAAUCAUGCAUUCAACAACAUUCAUCCACUCACCUCAGAAUGCAUUCAACCAUCCAUUCAUCACAGCUCUGCAUUCAAGAUCAACGUUAAAGUGCAGAAACAUAAAAGGAAUGCGAACUGGAGUUGAAUUCUGAAAUGCUUACAGUGGGGUUGCUGUGCUGACCUCCAUACCGCUGGACCCUCUUUCACUCACUCUCUCUCACAUUUCAAUAAAAUAGUUGUUUUACAAACAAGCUUGGGGGUUGCCAGCUAUUUACCUUCCUUUUGGAUCUGAAAAUCGUGGACUCUGCGAAAAAGCUUCAGUUCUCUGUCACUCGAGUUUUCCUGCGCACAGAUCAGAGCAUGCAUGUGUUAUUUUUCUCUCCAACUGAGCGGUGCAGAUCAACAGCAAAGAAAUUCGGAUGAGGGUUUACCUUUUGGACUCUCAAAUUUUCAGUAUGCCAGCAACUCCGUUUGCAAGCGUAGUGGACUCAAUGGAACUCGGUGCUGUGCAUUUAGGGGGUGCUUCUGGGUUUUGGCUGAGAAGGCAUCGCGAGGAGUAGAAAUGACUAGGGCUGGGUGUUUCGGUUUUUAUUUUAGGUUUAAGAGAAAAGGAGAGAGCCCUCUUGGUGUUAGGUUUGGAAAUGAAGGUAAUGGGGCUGAAACCUAGUUUGUAUAGACCAACGGUAGGGUUAUUGGCACGAGCGUGCUCGCACGUGAGUGGGCAGAGGCUUUCUCCAUUCCUAUUCCUGCCCCCAGGUCACGAGUUCGAUCCCAGCGCCUGGAAAAUUUGCCUUUCCCCAGCUCCAGGUCCUGUCUUCGAACCCAGGUGCGUCCACUUCCAUUCCCUUUAUUUUAUUUUUCGUUUUGUAUCAUUUUAUAUUUUGUUCUGCUUUGUCUUUUGUUUUAUUUUCGUCUUUCUAUUUCUAGUCAGUUAAGGUGGUUGUUUAUUUUUUAUUUUUUUGUUUUAGUUUAUUUUUUCUGUUCUUCUAUUUUUUGCAUUUCGAGGAUAAUGUGUGAUUUAAGUUUGGGGGUGGGAAAUAGAAUUUUAGGUUUUUAAUUUUUGAGUCAAUAAAAAUUUUCAUUCUUUUUAAGUUAAUAUCCAUAGAUUAUUUUAAACUUUAGAACAAAUGGACAUGGUGAAGGUUAAUCCCACAUUAUAUUCUUUUCUAUUUAUUGUUGCUUAGACACUAAUUCAUGACUUAUACUUUGAAAAUUUGCAUGUUCACACCAACAUGGUUUUGUGGGGGAGUGAGAUUGAAACACUUACUUUUUGACUAAGGGUAUUUUAAUUUUUGUUCUUAGUAAAGUAAAGUUUAGUUUGUGUUAUAAAUAAAGUAAUAAUUGUUCCACCCGAAACUUUGCUUAGUAAUCGGGCUAGUUUUGCCUGAUCAGUAAGUGAUUCUCACGUCAAACAGUAGAGUUCUGGCAUGGGGCAUGGUGGUUAGUUGGUUUCAUAGCCUUUUCAGCUCGAGUUAAUAAGUCCUUAGGUGUUCUACACUUAGUGCCAUAGAGCCUUAGUGGUUUGGGAAUAGUUUUCUAAAACACGGCCUAGGCGGCCGCCUAGGCGCUAGACGGCGGUGCUCCCCCAUGAUUAUGCCGAAAUCGUUUACUAAAUCGGCAAAGCUAUUAGGCGGCAUAAGUCGGACGUCUAGGCGGGCUAAACGGUCGCUGGGCGGGCUAGACGGAAGCUGGACGAUCUGGGCGGCUUGGGAAAAUACGAUAGCCUACCCAGAAGUAGGCAGACACGAGGAAAUCUAGGCAUUGUGUGUCUCGCCGUUUCCUUUAGGUGUGACGAUGGUCUACGAGAGAGAGAGAGAGAGAGAGAGAGAGAGAGAGAGAGAGAGAGAGAGAGAGAGAGAGAGAGAGAGAGAGAGAGAAAGAGAGAGAGUAUGAAUCUGCAAUUGCAGAUAUGGUGAUAAGCAGACAGCGGCAAUGGUUUUUGCUGAGCAGCUUAGAGUUUUCUUUUCAAAGUAAGUCGGUGAUUGGGAAUCGGGAUGCCUAAAUACAAGUGUCUUUGGUUUGUUUUAUUCUAACAGGAUAAUAAAUGGAUUAGUUAGAUGACUUUGGGUUUUUUGUUAGGGUCCAUUACGCCCAUCUAUAAAUGGACUUGACAAUUCUACUCAAAGAUAAGACAAGGAAUACAAGGCCCAACCUUGCAUAUUUUCAUACAUAGAUGUAUAUUAUUUUUUAUUAAGAAAUAACAUAUUAUUCAAUGUUUAUUUACAUAUUAUAUAGUAAAUUUACUUAAAUCCGUCUAACCGUUUAGUUGUUAGGCCCCAAUCCGCCUCGCGACUAGCACCUAACGUUUUUUAGAACCUUUUUUUGGGAGUCAUUGACCUAAAGCUCGUUAUAUGGGUUGGACCGAAAGCUUAAGUGAACUGACAUUGCAAGACCACCACUGUUACUAGAAAAAGAAAAAAAAAUUGAAAAAAAAAAGAAAAGAAAAAAAAGAAGAAGAUCUUUUUGAGGUUAUUAUGUGUGAAGUAGUGAAUAAAGAGGACGAGAGGUAAAGACUUUUAGUCGUGUCUCUUUAACUAUGUUGGUUCACUCUACACCAAAGGAAAUUCAUGAAUUCUUUUCUAAUUGAUUCUAAAUGGCUUAGACUUUGUAGUGGGAUUGGUUGGAACUUUUGGAAAGAUGUUCUAAUUUUUAACGUUUUCUAUGAGUUGCAAUUUGAAGGUGAAAUUUUUUGUGUCUUAGUAAAUUUUGUUUAAGUUUCUUAGUCUUUCUUUUAUUUUCUAGUUUUGUUUUGCUUGAGGACAUGCAAAAUGCUAAGUUUGGGGGUAUUUGAUGAGUCGAUAUUAUACCAUAUAUUUUACCCUAUUCUUGGUUAUAGUUUAUUGGUUGUUUUGGUAGAAUUUUAAUACUUUGUUAUGUAUUUUCAAUGUAGGACAUUUGACUUCCUUUAGAGAAAAAUGUGAUCAAAUGAAUGAAUUUUAGAGUUUUUCCAAUUAGAGGAUGUUCAUGUGCCUUUCAAUAUGAUUGUCUCAAAGUUUUAGAUUUUUCUACCAAGCCGUUUGACCAUGGCGAAGAAAAGAAGGUCCAGCGCGCAGCUUUCCCAUAUUGAUAUUUUUGGAUGUUUUGGGUAUUUUGAAAGUCAAGAUGACAUAUUUUGAGAAAGAUUACUUCUGAGGAUUUGUAGAGGACGUCUUCAUCUUUCAAAAGAGACAUUUUGAGACCAAAUCGGAGUUGAUUUGAUGGGUCAAAAGUCUGAUUUUCUGAGAAGUCCAAAUUUCAGGUCAAAUAGGAAACCUUUUAUUUUGCUAAUUAUCUUAUUUUAUUAUGUUUCCUAGUUUUAGAAGACCUUUUCUAAGUAGGACUUUAUGUUGUAGUAGUAUAAAUAAG